ACUUCUACGGGAGGCAGCAGUCGAGAAUCAUUCGCAAUGGGCGAAAGCCUGACGGUGCGACGCCGCGUGGAGGAUGACGGCCUUCGGGUUGUAAACUCCUGUCAUCAGAGAGUAAUGCCUUAUAAAGUAACUGUUAUAAGGAGUGAUAGUAUCUGAAGAGGAAGGGACGGCUAACUUCGUGCCAGCAGCCGCGGUAAUACGAAGGUCCCCAAGCGUUGUUCGGAUUUACUGGGCGUAAAGCGUCUGUAGGCGGCAAGGUAAGUCAGAUGUGAAAGCCCGGGGCUCAACCCCGGAACUGCAUCCGAUACUGCCUUGCUAGAGGAUCGGAGGGGAGUCUGGAAUUCACGGUGUAGCAGUGAAAUGCGUAGAUAUCGUGAGGAACACUAGUGGCGAAGGCGAGACUCUGGACGAUUCCUGACGCUGAGAGACGAAGGCCAGGGUAGCGAAAAGGAUUAGAUACCC
rnacentral:rRNA from 1 species